GAGCAAUCCCAGCCCCUGCAGGAGGGCCAGGACAGCGGUGCAGACACAGACAGCAGGCCCGCUCAGAGUGUGAAUGAUGCUCCUCCUCAGGGUGUUUCUGAGGAGAACGGUGUCUCUGAUCCAAAGCAAGUAAG